ACAAGACUAAGGCUGGUUCACAUCGUUUCAAUAUAUCCAUAAAUUCGAUUUGAUACAAGCCACGGUACCUGGGUCAAUCGGUCGAGUCAUAAGAUACUACCCCCUCCCCCACCCCAUCUCUCUCUCUCUCUCUCUCUCUCUCUCUCUCUCUCUCUCUCUCUCUCUCAGUGUGUGUGUGUGUAAACCUGUCAACGCUAUCCCUUAUCAGAGAACUAUAUCAUCUUUCCCACCGUCAUCCCUACCUUAAGGGGUCGGUUGCCUGAUGCGCCUUCUCCUCUUCCACUGCCUUCUAUUAAAGGCAUCAUCCUCCACAAAACCUCUCCACAUUUUCCUUCACUUUAUCUCGCCAUCUGAUUCUCUCCCUCUCUCCCUUGAUCAUCUUCCUCUAACAGUUUCUUCCCAGGCCCUCUUCACUCCCUCCUUGUCGUCCAUCCUCAACACAUGCCCAUACCACAUCAAUCGUGACUCUCUUAUUACCUCUGUAAUAAUUUUCCAAUCUCUCGAGAAGCGAUAUUCCCAUAAUCCUCCUCAGCAUUCUCAUCUCUAUUCUCUCAAGCUUUAUUUCCUCUUUUCUUCUUAGAGGCCAUGUCCCCGAUCCACACAUAUCAACAUUGGUCUUAUCACUGUGUUUAUAGGACCAGAGAACUAAGAUAUGGCUUGUAUCAAAGCGACUUCGUAGAUGUAUGGAAACGACUGUAGAAACCAGGAACCAUAGACCAGGAACCGAAAAACAAGGACCAGAAACCAGGAGCCGAGAAAUAAGAACCUAGGAACCGAGAAACGAGGACCAGGUACCAGGAGUCAAGAACCAGGGACCACGAACCAUGAGCCAGGAAACAUGAAACAAAGACCAUGGAACAGGAACCACCAACUAGGGACCGGAAUUCAGGAACCAUUGAUCAUGGACCAAGAAGAACUAGGGAUCAGGAACCAUGUACUAAGAGCAGGAAACAGGAACCAUGAACCAUGGAAGAGGAAUCAGGAACAGUGGACCAAGAACCAGGGACAACGAACCAUGGACCAGGAAUCAGGAACAGUGGACCAAGAACCACGUGGCAGGAAUCAUAAGUCAUUAUAAUCAGUCUCUUGGCGUUUUGUGGGUGCAUGCUUGGUCACUUCUUGUCCACGACGAAACAGCUUCAAGUUUAACCUUUCUACGCCAAUAUCAAUUACUCCUGAAUGUUAAGGCUCAUUGCUAUAGGGCUUAUGGGUGCAGUAAAUUCGAAGUAUUCUGAUGGUGUAUAAAGCAGGCAUAAGAUUAUACACAACUCAUGGGAAUUUCUACAAAUCAGAAAUACUACAAACUUGAAGAAGUUAUUGGAAGAAGACGACAGACCAAAUUACUGCUGCUGAAAAAGGAACAAGAACUCUUAUGAAGAAAAGAAGUCGGGUGAAAGUCAAUUAGUUCAAGAAAUCGUACAAAUGAGGAACCUACUAGACAGGAUAGCCCAACACAAAAAAUAAAAAUAAUUACUCAAUAUAAAUGUCAGAAACCCAUAAUUUCACAUAAAGAGAUCAUAAUCUUAAAGAUAUGGUUCCUAAAACUAUAUUAUUACUAAAAUUUAUAGUCAUGAACUAGUGUUGUUUCAUCAGGGAAAAAAACCUAUUAGCCAGCAAGUUUUAGUUAAUCAGUUUUAUAACGGUGUCUAUUUCUGGUGAUAGAAGUUUACUCUCGACGUGGUUCGGAAGUCACGUUAAGCCGUUGAUCCCAUUGCUGAAUGACCACUGGUUCCAUGCAACGAAAAAACACCAUACAAACAAACAAACAAUAACGGUGCCUAUUGACCCAAAGUCGAGUAAAGCUCAGCUUGGCUGCUUGUAAUUUCUAAGUAGCAUCUUCAGAACUUUUUCAUAAGAGGUAGUUUGUGGUUGUCCAGGGGAUAUGUUUUAUUAUUGAAACCUGCUACUGGUUUAAUAUUUCAGGAUACAUUUUCCUCAUUUAUUUC